CUCAGCUCCAGUGCUACAUGGAAUAUUUCUGAUCUAAUUCUAAUAGCCCCUACAUUUCAAGAGAUGGAUAUAAACACCAGAUGGAUAUUAGAAGAAAAUUGGAUUACUCUGCCAUGAGAGAGAUAUGGAAAGGCCUUUUUCCAACCAUGCACUAGACAGAAUUGUAACACACAGGCUCCUGUCUCUGUCACACACAGUUAAAAUAAGGAGAGAUGACAUCUGCGAAGAUGCAUAGCCAGCUCUGCACAGCGGCACAUCACAGAAGUCAAGUUGUGUGCACACCUGUGUGCACAGACCAGUUAUGGAGUUGAGUUGCAAGCAAACUGGAGCAACGCAGCUGCAAGGUCUGAGGCAAGGCGCUGGGAGGACCCCUUGCUGCAGGAUGGGGGAAUAGAAAAUGCAGAGCAGGAACAGACAGGCUAAGCACUCAAGCAUCUAGCUCGGUAAAGGCGCACAGGGGCUGCUCAGCAAAGGGGAGAAGAGACUUGGUGAUGAGAACAUUUGAGUGUAGAAACCCUGAGUUGACGGUUUCCACUCACCUGCAUUUCCAGCGACACUGAUGAACAGGGUUGGGUAAGGAAGCUGGGAAACACCUGAACGUGUGCAGCAAACCUCUGUCCACUGCCACACUGGAGACAGGCGGCCGUUACAGGUACAUCGAUGAGGCUUAAGGGAAAGCAACUACCACUCAGCUAGACUUAGAUUAUGUGCAUGGUCUGCAUAUGAAGUACUCAGAAAGCAUGGCACCAAAAGGCUUUGUUUUCCUUGAAAUGUAAACAUAGGCAUGGCUCCCAUCAAUUGUGAGGAGGAGGAUGGAUAGAGGUGACAGUUGAAAGGGGAAGAAGACGGGGGAGCGGAGGCAAAGGCCCUGAAUCACUGCAGAUUUAUCAAGGUGUCGCUUUUAUUUUCUGCUUUGUUUGUGAAUACAAUUUAUAUAAUGAACUUUAGUUUUGCUGGGAACUGAAGCCAAUCGAUUCGCAACAUCAUGCUUUCUUCCCCUGGCCUUCCUAGGUUGGGGAGUCCUCACAGAUCAGGAGUUAUUCAGGGUGCCCUCUUACUCAGUGUUGUAUCUGCGGUUUAGGAAUGGUUCCACACAUCGACAGACCUUUAAAUGCAGCACCCGGUGAUCUCAUAAUUGACUUGUCUCCACUGUUUUAACACUCAAAAUGCCAGCCAAAUUGAAGUGCAAUGAAUGGGAAAAGUCAUUUGGAAAGGAGCACUGAUGAAAAAGUUUUACUCUCUCUUUGAAAACUGGAUUAAUAUUCAUCGUGGGGAAUUCAUCGUGGGAGCUGGUGGCACUACUGGUGUCAGCCUGGUGGCCCGUUCACACACAGGAAUAAAGCAAGAAACACUUAGCUAGUUGGAACAACUCCAAACCAACUCCCAACCCUUCAAGGACGCAGUUAGCCUUCUACUGUGGUAUAAUGUCAUAUCCAGGCUAUUGACAUGGAUACAAUCCACUGAUUUUGGAUUUCCAAGGUUUUACCUGUACUCAUUUGGUCAUAUGUGUGUAUUUAGCUCUAUACAGUUUUCUCACCUGUGUAAGUGUGAGUGUCUGUUACCACAGGCAAAGUACUGAGCACUUACAGCACAAGGGUCCCUCGUGUUUUCCCUUUGUAAUGAAACCAGGCUCCCCUCUGCAAAGCUUGGCAACUACAAAUUGGCCCUUCAUUUAACAAAUUUUGCCAUUUCAACAAUGUUAUAUAAAUAGAAUCAUGCAGUAUGUGACCUUUUGGGAUUGGCAUUUUUUCACCCAAUAAAAUUCCCCAGAGAUUUAGCCAAAUUGUUGAAUGUGUCCAUACUUACUCCUUUUUAUUCCUGAGUAGUACUCCAUGGUAUAUGUCUACACUCCUGUAUUUAAUCAUUCACCUGUUGAAGUACAUUUGGGCUGAUUCCGAUGAUUGGUGACCAUAAAUAAAGCUUCCUUGAGAGUUCACGUGAAAGUUCUUGGGCAAAUGUAACUUUUCAUUUGCCAGGGUAAACGUGCAAGCCUUCAUUUGCUGGUUCAUAUGGUAUUUGCAUGCUUAGUUUUUGGAGGAACUGCCAAACAAUUUGCCAGUGUGGCUGUACCAUUUUAUAUUACCACCAGCAAUAUGUGAGUGAUCUAGUUUCUUAUUUUCACCAGCAUUUAUUGUUUUCAGUAUGUUUUUAUUUAAACCUUCCAGACAAAUAUGUACUGCAUUGUGAUUUUAAUUUCCAUGUCCCUGGUGGUUAAUGAUGUUGAACACCUUGUGUUGUGCUUAUUCAUCAUCUCUGUCCUUUUUGAUGAUGUCUUGUCAUGCCAUUUGCCCAUGUAUUAAUUGUAUUAUUUACUGUUGAGUUUGGGGAGUUAUUUAUAUCUCUCUGACACCAGUUCUUUGUCAUAUAUGUGGUUCACAGAUAUUUUUUUCCCAGUGUGUAGUUUGACUUUUUAUUCCCUUCAGACGGUGUUUCACAGAGCAAGUUUUUAAUUUUGAUGAGGCUCUAUUUAUUAAUUUUUUCCUUUUAUGGAUUGUGACUUGGAUGUCUAAUCUAAGAAAUCUUUGCCAAAGAUCUCAAAGAUGUUAUCCUAUGUUUUUUCUAAAAGUGUUUAAGUUGUAUGUUUCAAAUUUAAACCUGUGAGUUAAAUUAUAAGUUAAAUUUUGUCUGAAGCAAGAGAUUUAGCUCAAAAUUGUUUCAUCUUUUUACUUUUUACUUCUUCUUUCUUUUUCUUGUUGCCUGUGCAUGCCCAGUUGCGCUGGCACCAUUUGUUGAAACGCUAUCUUUCCUCUAUUGCAGUGAUUUGCAUCCUGGUCAAAAAUCGGUGGGUUUUAUUUGCGGGGAUCUUUUUCUGAGUUCUUUACUCUGUUCCAUUGAUCUGUUGUCUAUCAUGGUGCCAUUACAUUGUUUUGACUACAAAAGCUAGAUCAUUGGCCUUACUAUCUGUAGUGUAAUUCCUCCUUUGUUUUAAUUACUCCAGAGUUUGUAUCCUAGAGAAUUCUUGGGCCCAUGGGGACCAAGACCUUUCCUUGACCAUGUACCAGUUGUUGCUGGCUCCCUCCUGCCAGCUCCGCUGACCUGCUUCAGUAGCUCAGUGACAAAGGUAAGCUGCAGGCCCAGCAGGGCAGGAUGGAGCUUCCUCUCGCAGUUUAUUUGUGGUGAGGCUCCCACUGAUCAUCCUUGCCAGUGAUGUCAGCUCACCCAGUGUUGUCAGAAGGACUCCCAUUCUAGCUGGGAGAAAUAUGAACCUACAUUGGCUGCCUUCUUUUGCUAGCUUGGUGAUCAAAAAACAAUGAGUCUGGGUGGACUUCUCUGCCAUGUGGGGGGAGAUAGAUGCCUGGUGCCAUGCUGUCCCUCCAGCCCUGGGUUCAGCUCACCAUCUUACCACUUUCCAGAGCUUUCUGGUAGCUUGUGACAUCAUUUGCAGAGUUUAUAGUUGUGCUUCAUGGGAAGGAGCAAGCUCAAGACUAGAAGCCAAGGUCUAUCAAAGAGAUAUUUUUAAAGCCAAAUAAGUAAUUGUCUUUUAUUUUUAAAAAGACACUGACUUAUCAAGAAUAGCACUUGAACUUUCAGGCAGAAUUGAACAGAAAUUUCAGAACCUGGAAAAUAUGUGCCAUAUCCCCAGUGAACUAAUCUUCUUGUGCUUUAUUAAAAUGCUCAAACUUUUUCUCUUUCUUGUCUUUUUCCCUUUGAUAAAAAUAGAGUCUGGGCUAAAUUCCAAUUUGAAUAAAUAUACUGAUCUUCCAAAUUCCCUUGGCAGUGUAAAGCACAUGCAGCUUGCUUCAUGUUCUCUCUUUAACUAGUGGAACAGGAUGGCUGUACACUGAGAUAGGUGCCCAGUUCUACUGGGAGCUGUCUGGAGAGGAAACGCCUUUCAUUAAUUAUCCUAUAGAUUUGCUGUAACACCAAAGCUUGCAAAGUUACAUAUUUG